CCUUACACGACCGUACCGCAAACCGACACUGGUGCGCGAGAUGAGUAUUCUAAGGCGCUUGAGAGAACUCAGGAGAAGGAACUCGGCAAAUUGACACCGUAACUUCGGAAGAAGGUGUGCCUUUAGUAGGUGAACCAUUUACUUGGGGAGCCCAAUGAGGCUGCAAAAAAUCGGUGGCUGCAACUGUUUAUUAAAAACACAGCACUCUGCUAAGACGAAAGUCGACGUAUAGGGUGUGACGCCUGCCCGGUGCUGGAAGAUUAAAUGAUGGGGUGCAAGCUCUUGAUUGAAGUCCCAGUAAACGGCGGCCGUAACUAUAACGGUCCUAAGGUAGCGAAAUUCCUUGUCGGGUAAGUUCCGACCUGCACGAAUGGCGUAAUGAUGGCCACACUGUCUCCUCCUGAGACUCAGCGAAGCUGAAAUGUUUGUGAUGAUGCAAUCUCCCCGCGGAAAGACGGAAAGACCCCAUGAACCUUUACUGUAGCUUUGUAUUGGACUUUGAACAGAUCUGUGUAGGAUAGGUGGGAGGCUUUGAAGUGUGGUCGCUAGAUCGCAUGGAGCCAACGUUGAAAUACCACCCUGGUGUGUUUGAGGUUCUAACCUAGGUCCAUUAUCUGGAUCGGGGACAGUGCAUGGUAGGCAGUUUGACUGGGGCGGUCUCCUCCCAAAGUGUAACGGAGGAGUUCGAAGGUACGCUAGGUACGGUCGGACAUCGUGCUAAUAGUGCAAUGGCAUAAGCGUGCUUAACUGCGAGACUGACAAGUCGAGCAGAUGCGAAAGCAGGACAUAGUGAUCCGGUGGUUCUGUAUGGAAGGGCCAUCGCUCAACGGAUAAAAGGUACUCUGGGGAUAACAGGCUGAUACCGCCCAAGAGUUCAUAUCGACGGCGGUGUUUGGCACCUCGAUGUCGGCUCAUCUCAUCCUGGGGCUGUAGCCGGUCCCAAGGGUAUGGCUGUUCGCCAUUUAAAGAGGUACGUGAGCUGGGUUUAAAACGUCGUGAGACAGUUUGGCCCCUAUCUUCCGUGGGCGCUGCAGAUUUGAGGAAGCCUGCUCCUAGUACGAGAGGACCGGAGUGGACGAACCUCUGGUGUAUCGGUUGUCACGCCAGUGGCAUUGCCGAGUAGCUAAGUUCGGAAGAGAUAACCGCUGAAAGCAUCUAAGCGGGAAACUCGUUUCAAGAUUAGAUCUGCCGGGGCCUUGAGCCCCCUAAAGAGUCGUUCAAGACCAGGACGUUGAUAGGUCAGGUGUGGAAGCGA
rnacentral:rRNA from 1 species